UACGUAGGGCGCAAGCGUUGUCCGGAAUUAUUGGGCGUAAAGAGCUUGUAGGCGGUUUGUCGCGUCUGCUGUGAAAAUCCGGGGCUCAACCCCGGACUUGCAGUGGGUACGGGCAGACUAGAGUGUGGUAGGGGAGACUGGAAUUCCUGGUGUAGCGGUGGAAUGCGCAGAUAUCAGGAGGAACACCAAUAGCGAAGGCAGCUCGCUGGGGACGGUACUGACGCUAAGGCGCGAAAAGCGUGGGGGAGCGAACAGG
rnacentral:rRNA from 1 species